rnacentral:rRNA from 1 species
GAUACACCUGUUCCCAUUCCGAACACAGAAGUUAAGCUCUCUAGCGCUGAUGGUACUUGGUGGGAAACUGCCUGGGAGAGUAGGACGUAGCCACGUG